UCGUCUCCAUCUCGCUCCAACACAUACGAAUAAGAGACCCCUAAAGAAACAUGCAAGGAAACAUAAGACGUCACCUUUAAAAGAGGCAUAUUCACCAUGACCAGAGCUGAUGUUUGCAUAGGAAGCAGUAUGUAAAGAGACGACCAAACCUGAUGCAGCAUGUUGCUCUGCACCUGCUCAGACAAAAGAAGCCUCCAGGAGAGGAGACCACAACUUCACACAAACUGGGGACAACAACUGGAACUGAAGUAAAUCUUGGAUGUACCACUCUUACAGUGAAACAAGGUGGUGGCACCAUCAUGCUAUGAGGUUUUUUUUUUUUUCCAGUGGGGACAAGGAAGCUGGUCAGAGCUUUUUGGAAGACGGAUGGAGCAAAAUACAAAGGAAUUGUGGAAUAAAACAUGUUAGAGGACGCAAAAGGGUUGAGGGUCACCUCAAAGCAGGACAGCAACUCCAAACACACAGCUACAAAGGAAUGGUCCGAUCGAUAUUUGAGUAUUAGAAUGGCCUACUUAAAGCCCUGAUUUGUAUGAAAGUGAUAAUCGGCGGCCAGAUAUAAAGCAGAUAAGACAAGGAAUGAAGAAAAGGCAGAUGGAAGUGAUGUAAAACAAAAAUUGGAAGAUGGAAGGAGAAGGCGGUAGGACCAAAGGAGGGUAGAAAGGACAAUAGUUAAAAAAAAAAAAGAAAGGAAGAAAAG